rnacentral:tRNA from 1 species
GGUAUAGCUCAGUUGGUAAGAGUGUUUGUCUCGCAAGCACAAGAUCCUGGCUUCAAUCCCCAGCACC